rnacentral:rRNA from 1 species
AACCUGGUUGAUCCUGCCAGUAGUCAUAUGCUUGUCUCAAAGAUCAAGCCAUGCAUGUCUCAGUAUAAGUCUUUAUAUGGCGAAACUGCGAAUGGCUCAUUAAAACAGUUAUAGUUUACAUGAUUGUCAACUGUUAUACGGAUAACUGUGGUAAUUCUAGAGCUAAUACGUGCAUAAAGACCCGACUUCAAGGAAGGGUUGUAUUUAUUAGAUACAGAACCAAUCCGGCUUGCCGGUUUUUGGAUGAUUCAUAAUAAAUGAACGGAGCGUAUGGCAUGCGCCGACGCUGUGUCAUUCAAGUUUCUGACCUAUCAGCUUCCGACGGUAGGGUAUUGGCCUACCGUGGCAUUGACGGGUAACGGAGAAUUAGGGUUCGAUUCCGGAGAGGGAGCCCGAGAAACGGCUACCACAUCUAAGGAAGGCAGCAGGCGCGCAAAUUACCCAAUCCUGAUACAGGGAGGUAGUGACAAGAAAUAACAAUGUAAGUGCCAACUGGCAUUUUACUAUUGGAAUGAGUAGAAUUUAAGUCUCUUUUCGACUAUCAAUUGGAGGGCAAGUCUGGU